UACGUAGGGUGCGAGCGUUGCCCGGAUUUAUUGGGCGUAAAGAGCGUGUAGGCGGCCAAGUAAGUCUGCUGUGAAAACUCGAGGCUUAACCUCGAGCUGUCGGCGGAAACUAUUUGGCUAGAGUCCGGAAGAGGAGAAUGGAAUUCCCGGUGUAGCGGUGAAAUGCGCAGAUAUCGGGAAGAACACCCGUGGCGAAGGCGGUUCUCUGGGACGGUACUGACGCUGAGACGCGAAAGCGUGGGGAGCGAACAGG
rnacentral:rRNA from 1 species